UAAGUCACCACCACCACCUCCUCCAGUGUACAAGUCUCCGCCACCUCCAGUCUACAAGUAUAAGUCACCACCACCUCCUUCCCCAAUUUACAAGUCACCACCACCACCUCCUCCAGUAUACAAAUCACCUCCACCACCUCCUCCAGUUUACAAAUCUCCACCACCACCAAUUUAUAAAUACAAGUCUCCUCCACUACCUCCUCCAGUGUACAAGUCAUCACCACCACCUGCUUACAAGUCUCCACCUCCUCCAGUUUACAGUUCCCCACCACCACCAAUCUACAAGUCUCCACCUCCACCCUACCAUUACUACUACAAUUCUCCUCCUCCUCCUCGUCACUACUAAGCAAUUGUAUCCAAGUUUUUGAGGUAAUAACGUUUAACCAAUAAAUUAACUUUCGCAUGAUAAACCUUAUCUCUAUCUAGACAAACUGCCAUGUGUAUAAUGCCAAAUACGUACACCUAGAUCCAUGAAAAUGAGUGGUAGAAAGUUUUCUUAAGAACCAAGGAACAGCAUUAGUAUUCCCUCUGCUUCCAAACACUUGUGUAUUAAAUAGAUUAAUGAAUUGUUUAACAUGCUCAUCUACUUGAAAAUGCACAAUACCCAUAACCCACUGAAAUUUUUGCAGGAAAAGGGAAAGAGAAUCUGUGUUUGAGAGCUUCAUGAAGAUGUUGAAGAAUAAGAAUAAAAGCCCAAUGCGAGGAUGUUUUCAAGUUUUUCUAUGUUUCCACUUUAAUUUGUAAAUUGAAUUUUGCGACUCAAUUAAUUCCCUGUUUGUGGGGUACGUAUUGUUUUACGUACCAUGCCGUACAUGUUUGUAAGGAUUUCUAUCCUAUUGGCAAAAGUCGGUUCCGUACAAUUAAUCAAUUCAUUUCACUUCUAUUGGCUCUACUAUUUAUGCAUGUUACGACAUUUUUUCUCUCUUUCCCUUAUAUUUUGCCUUUAAUAUUAUUGAGUCAAUAUUAAUAAUGGGCCUUUUUCUUAAAAUUAUACUAUUAUACAUAGGUAGUUUGGUCUAACGCUAAAUUCAUGUUUGUCUUUCUUUUAUUCCCUUUACAUCUCAAAGUAUACUAUAGUUUGUAAUCAUUGUGGUGAUGAUAUUACCAGCUGGUACUUAUAGUUUAAGGCAGAGACAUGAUAUUAACAACUAUCUCAUUGAAACAUAAGGAAAAAUCAUGACAAGUGUGAGUCUUGGUUAAUGCACAAUUUGUUAGUGGAAUUUAUAUUUAUAAAACUCAAAAAAAAUUUUUGACAAUGCUAUUACUAAUUAAUUAAGGACUUUAUUGCUAUAACUUAUCGCUUACUAGUUUAAACUAUAAAUGAUCUCAAUACUUUUCUCCAUGAUGUCGAUUUCUUUAGACUACGAAAGGGAAAAAUUAGUGACAUAUCCUCUACUGAUUACAACAUCAGCAAAAAUUAGUUAUAAACUUUUCCGGUGGUUUUAAAUCCCUCGGGCCCUAAGAUUUUUUGCUCAUCGAGUGAAUUAAGGAACAUAGGCAAUUCGUUCUACAUACCAAGUCCUUGUUUAAGAUGCAAGUACUAAAAUGCAUCCACUUCAUUAAUUUGGGAAAUUGCCAUAGUUUUUUUUAAGCAUUUUGAUUUUUUACAUGAUUCAAAAUUUUCUGAUUGGAUACAAUCACUUUGUAUCAAGAACACAUUUUCAAUCACCUUUUUUUAUCUUCUCAAUAAGAAAAUAAAAAUUUAUUCAUGCUUUUCUAACAUAUUCAAUCAUUGAUCUGAAAAUUAAAACAUUAAAAAAAAAGGACAUUUUCAAUCACUGCUUACAGGGCAACUUCCCCAUGUGAACCUCUUCAAACAAAGCCAAUAAUAUGAAGGAAUAUCUAAAUAUACUUUUGCCCUAAAGGCUGGUUGCCUUGGGGUCAAAAUUUAACCUUCCGGAGUAUAAUUACCCUGCCAAAUUUAUUUUUUUUUUAUGGGUAUAUAGUUCCAAUUUUGCCUCCUGUUAAGCUUAUAAAUAUAUUAUCACCCAGAAAAUAAAGGAAUCUUGAAUACUAACAUGUCCAUUGACUUGAGUUGUCAUCAAUUUGGCUACUUCGAUUCCAUGAGGCCAAUCCAAUUCACACUAGCUAGAGAAAAUGGUGACAAAGGCACUUAGAAAAUUAUAUGUAAUAUUGAUUGGUAGUAACCAGCUUGUAUUGAUUGGUAGUAACCAGCUUGUGCUCUUAUGAAAAAAAAAUUAGCAAAAUUUAUGAGAACAAUUAAAUUUAUUCGUACAAAUCAGUCAAAGAAGUAGUAUUUUAAAGACCGUGAUGAAAUUAAUACUUUCAAGGUUUCUAUUAGGAAGACUUCCUUUGUUGGUGAAACUACACUAGGCAGAGUUAUAUGGUAUCAAAAAAUAGUUGUAUUCACGUCUGUUCUUUUUUUCUUCCUUAAGUUUUUUUCUUUAUUCUCGUGACUUCAAAAAUACGAACUCAAGAAAUUGGCUGCUCAAUCAGUAUGUCAUACAGGCUUCGCUAGUGAGGUAUAACUUCACAACUAGAGCCAAUAGAAAUCGUCAAAUGAUUUUUUGACAUCCAAAUUAAGCAAUAAAUUUUGUUUUCAUUUCAUAACAUAUAAUAGUACUACUUCAUGGGAGAUUUUAUAGUUUCUUUAGGGUAUCAUACCUACAAGUGAUAUUUGUCAUUGGAUAGUGAAAGAAGUGUUAAUGACUGUAAGAUUAAAUAUUGUUAAAUAUUGAAAAUUUAAACUAUUUAUCUUUAUUGAGAGAUACAACUUAAAGAAUCCUACCCAAAAGAGACUAUAGAAUUUUCUCUGUUUUUCAUCAUCUGUAGACAUAAAUUUUGCCUAUACAAUGUGAUAGCAUUUUUUCAAAAAGACAAGAUGGAAAAUUGCCCCCCUUGAACGGAAAAUUGCCCCCUUGUCAAUUCUUUAAAAAAGAAUACUCGCUCCUGAACAUAGCCUGUUCAUCUACACUGUCCCGCAGAAUUCUAGAAAGUUAGGCAAAACUAGACUAGUUGACAGGUAUAAUCAUACCCAACAUCAGGAACAAGCAGUUGCACAUUUCAAAAUUCGCUGCUGCAACAACUAAUUUGAUGACUUACAACACUACACGGUCAAACUUUGAAUGGCAAUGGAUCUUUUGAUGUAAUUUUCAUGUUACAUACAUUAAUAGAUUGAUAUCUAUAUUCUUUAAAUUAUCGUAAUAAUACUCUUAAUUACAUUUAAUUGAUAAAAAGAACACGUGUCAACACACAAAAAUGUGUAAUGUGAAUGUUACAUUAGUGUAUAGCAGAAGACCUAUAGUCUCUUCACAUCUCUUCCUGCACGUAUCAAUUCGUUUCCUCUAGAUAAUAAUCUCCCAACUCAUUUCUUUACAAAUGCACCUUUUAUGUUUUAUUACCUCCAAAAGCCUUUACAGGGUCUUUACCCUAAAAAUCAAUUCACCGACUCGCAUUUGAUAUCAGAAAUUCUUAUUACGAAUUCUACUUUACUCAAAGAUUGACUGUUAAUAAUGAGACAACGACCAUUUUGUAUUAUUACACCGUCCUUCUUGAUAGGCAAAAGAAAUAGAGAGGAAAGCGGGUCCGUAUAUGGUCUUUUAUUCAUAGAUAAUACAACAUUACGCCAUCGAGCAUUCACACAAUAUUUCAAAGUCAUUGCAUGCCUAAGACCCUGUUUGAUAAUCCAAUUCCAUACUUAAAUUUAAUGGAUUUAAAUCUUAACACAUUCAAAUCGUUUGAUAACAAAAAAUUGAACAUUUAAAUUAAUUAAGUAACACUGGAUUUCCAAGACAAAACUUGCUCCCAAAAUUAAGUGAUAAGUGAAUAACUUAUCACUGAAUGUAUGUAUUAGAUUUAAUACUUAAUAAUUUAAUAAUUUAAUGAAUUCAGAUUUCAGAUUUCAGAUUUCAGAUUUCAGUUUUCAGUUUUAUCACACACACCCUAAGUUACAAAUUAAUACCAAAACUUGUUAUUAUAUAGCUUGAGAUUCAAAAAUUUAGAGCAUAAUUCUCAACCUAACACAAUUGAAUAAUGAAUAUUCACGAUUGUCAAAACUAUCAAAGUACAAUUUGAGGACAACCCAUUCCAACGCGUACACGAUUUUUAACUUUUCUAAAGUUGUUGAGAGCUGUUGAAAGAGAUUUACCAUGUUUACAUCUUCCAAGUCUUGGGAGUAAAAAAUGAAGCCACUGAGUGCUAUAAAAAGGGGGCUAGAGGCUGCCUAGAAGCAUAUCAGCCUAAAACAAGAAUUUGUAGUAACAAUGGGGAGCAAAGCAAAAGCAACGGAGUCUAGGCUGACUCCUCUUCUUACCACUGUUUUAGUGGUAUUUGUUGCCCUUGGCUUGCCCUUGGAAACUGCAGCUGAUUAUUACAAGUAUUCAUCUCCUCCUCCUCCUCCUUACCACUAUUCCUCACCACCACCUCCUGAGUAUUCACCUCCACCAACCCCUGUUUAUAAGUUACCCCCACCAUCUCCUCCAGUUUACAAGUCCUCACCGCCACCUUACCACUACUCACCACCUCCGGUGUAUUCACCUCCACCAUCACCAGUUUACAAGUCACCGCCACCACCCCCUCCAGUAUACAACUCCCCGCCUCCACCAGUGUACAAAUACAAGUCCCCACCGCCACCUCCUCCAGUUUACAAAUCUCCACCGCCACCAAUUUACAAGUACAAGUCACCCCCACCACCUCCUCCGGUAUACAAGUCUCCUCCGCCACCUGUUUACGAGUACAAGUCUCCUCCACCACCUCCUCCAGUGUACAAGUCUCCACCACCUCCAGUUUACAAGUACAACUCACCACCACCUCCUCCCCCAGUUUACCAAUCUCCACCACCACCAGUUUACAAAUACAACUCACCACCACCUCCUCCCCCAGUUUACCAGUCUCCACCUCCACCCUAUCAUCACUACUACGGUUCUCCUCCUCCUCACCACUACUAAGCAAGUGCAUCUAAGUUUUGAGGUAAUAAUACCUAUCCAAAACUUUAUCAACACAAACUGCCAUGUAUAUCAUGCUAAGGACGUACACUUGAUCCAUGAAAAUGACUUGUAGAAGAUUUUUUUUAAGAACCAAAGAAAUACAUUAUUUUUUCGGUCUGUUUUCAAGAAUUUGAGCAGUAUACAGAUUAAAGAGUGUUUUUUUUUUUAAACUUGCUUAUCAACUUAGAAAUGCACAUAGCUGAAAGCCAACUGAAUAUUUGCAGGCAAAGGAGAAGACAAUCGGUGUUUGCGACCUUCAAGAAGAUGUAGAAGAAUAAGAAUAAAAGCCCAAUGCGAGGAUGAUUCCAAGUUUCUACGUUACCAUUUCUACAUCUAAAUUGACUCUAGCUCCUGAGUUCCAUGUUUAUGGGGUUUGUACCGUUUUACGUACCAUGCAGUGCAUGCUUGUAAGGUUUUCUGUCCUGUUGGCAAACUGCAGGUCCAUAUAAUAAAAGAAUACUAUUUAUAUUACGACACUUUUCUCUCUUUCUCUUAUAUUUUGUCUUUAAUAUUGUUGAUCAUUUUUUUUUAUUUAUCAAAAGUAUCAAAUGUUUAGGUAAUUUGGUCUAAUGCUAAUUGUUUUACUUCUCUUUUUCACCUACACCCCUUUUCAACUCAAAGGAUGCUAUAGUUUGUGAUAAUUGUUUAAGACCGAAGCAUGAUACUAAUAAAUAUCUCAUUGAAAGUCAAGGAAACUAACAUUAUGAAAAGUGUAAAUCUUGAUUUGAUGAAACUAUUUAUUCGUGGAAUUUAGAGAUACAAAACUCAAAUUGUGACGGUGCUGUUGCUAAAUUAUUAAGGACAUUAUCACCACUAUUUUUCCCUUACUAGUUUCAACUGCAAUGAUCUCAAUCUUUUUGUGACUAAUUCUUUUCUUAAUAAUUUAUAAAUACAAAACUCACAAAGAAUAUGUGACUAAUUCUUUCCUUUCGUCUUCUAAAGAAAAUGGCAACUGUUAGUUUAUCAAGGGAAAAAGGAUCGACAUCAGUUGUUAUUGAAACUAGUAAGGAAAAAAUAAUGGUGAUAAUGUCCUUAAUAAUUUAACAACAGCACCAUCAGAAUUUGAGCUUUGUAUCUAUAAAUUCCACGAAUAAAUAGUUUCAUCAAAUCAAGAUUUACACUUUUCAUAAUGUUAAGUUUCCUUGACUUUCAAUGAGAUAUUUAUUAGUAUCAUGCUUCGGUCUUAAACAAUGAUCACAAACUAUAGCAUCCUUUGAGUUGAAAAGCGAAGUAGGUGAAAAAGAGAAGUAAAAAAUACAAUUAGCAUUCCCUCAAAUCGUAGAAAGUUAGGUAGCAUUAUAGACAAGUUGAUAGCCGUAAUGAUACUAAAAAUCAGGCAAAAGCCAGCAAUUUUACAUUUCAAAAUUCACCUAUCCAAUAACUAAUUCGAUGGCUUGCUACAUGGUCAAUCUUUGGACCCCUUCCUGCCACCACAUAUCCCUUUCCUCAAUCAGGGGCUUCUACAAUUACCAGUUCCAAUUGUAUGGUAUAGUGUAAAUAUCAACAAAUCAGAUGUAGACGCUAAUUUAAUAAAUGUGGAUGCUAAGACAACAACAUACAAAAACAUAAUAAAUUUUGGCAUUCCUUAAAAAAAUUAAGUCCCCAAAUCAAUCUCAUACACCCAAUUUCUAAUUUAAUUUAACCCAUUCCCUCUAUUAACUACACCAUACAAUACAAUCGAACCCAUUCCCUUCUAAUUUCUUCACAAAAUGCACCUUUCAUCACCGACAUGAUCUUUACCCUAGAAGACUAUUCACCGACUCUCCAUUGACGUCAGAAAAUCUAAGAGUAAUUCUACUUUACCCUAAGAUUGAUAUCAACGAGACAAUAAUGACAAUUUAGAAUUAUUACACGCCUCUUCUUAAUAGGAAAAAGAAAUACAGAAGAAAGUCAGGCCAGGUCUAAUUCUUUUUCAAAGGCAAUACAAUAUUACGAAAUCAAGCAGUCAUUCAUACAAAUAUUUCAUAGUCACCGGCCGGGGUUUGCUGAGUAGAAAAGUUUAUACAAAAACUUAAUAUUAUAUUGUUUAAGAGUUAACAAUUUAGAGCUUAAUCUCCUUGUACUUUGGACUAAACUCGAACGUGAAAGGAAAUCCCAAAACCAUAUUGGGCAUGAAUUCACACUUAAUAGACCCAAAAGAAGAUGGCGACUGGUGAAAGGCAGUGGAGACUGGUGGAGAGAUUUGAGGAAUAGAAGCAGACGGAAAAGCAACAAAUUUUUGCCGAAAAACGGUCACUUUCAUGGUUAAUUUUGCUACUCUCUAAUUGUACUUGACCAAAUACAACAAUUUCAUGGAGUUUGAUACACAAGCCCAAAUACACGAGAGUGUGUAACCUGAAUUGUUACUUAUACAUUAGUGUGUAAUAGAACGGCAAGCAUUAUGGUGGUCAUUGAGCAACUUAUAGAAGAAAUAGUCCUAUAAGCUGUUCGAUGACCAAUCGCAACUUGCUAAUUGGAUGACUAAUAUAGCUCUAGCUGUAAUGUUUUAAUUAAAUUCCAUCACUAACGUUGGGAUGACUUUUUAACCAAAAAAAAAAAAAAAGCCUUAGUUCAAGCUUUUCCCCUUAUUGUGCAUUUUUUAAAACAUUUGAUAGGCACUGCAAAUCUGUCAUUUUGGACAUCAACCCAUAUCCAACACAAGAUUAAAUUAAUAUUAGAAAAAAUUAUUACGUAAUUGGAAAAAAAAAAAGAAGAGACUAAUUUUCAUUGAAACCCACCGACAAACUAAGCGUGUCCAUAGCUUUUGAUUAGUUCAUUGCCGAUCACAUGGAGUAAAGAUUGUGCUCUUUCCCUUUCCCCCCCUUUUGGAAUCGAUACUGUGGAGAAUUGGCUUUUUCCCUCCUUUUUUUCUUUUCUUUUCUUUUCUUUCCUUCUGUACUUUGCAAAACAUAGGUAAAAAUAUGAAAUCCGAAGCAUUCUUUAAUUGGGAUUAAGUAUUGUUCUUGAAAUUAAAAAAAAAAAGAAAGAAAGAACAACAAAAAUCCCAAUCUGGGUUGAUUGUUGAGCUCUAGAUUGGCUGCAUCGUGCUUCCAUAGAAGUUCUCUUAGUGUGAUACGCUGCUUUCAAUCAGUUUUAACACGGGAAAAAGAAAAGACAUGAAAAGCAAAUUUUGUGGGGAUAAUUUCGGUAACCUCCCCUGAAGUUUUUGACUAUUUUACUGGCCUCCCUUCAGAUUUUAAAAAUUGCACUAAUCUUCCUUAAAGUUAAUUAUCUUGUAACAUUUAGAUCCAAUCAAUAAUUUAAAAAAUGAUAUUAUGAGAGAGAAAAUAAUAUGAUUUUAUCAUUGCCCCCAUCUUACUACAUUAUUUAAUUAAUUUAAUAGCAACCCACACAUUAAAGAAAAAUGCAAAAAUUUGUUGUUUAUCAUUAAAGAUCAUCAUAUCGCAUAUAACAUCAAAAAAUAGUAUAUUAUUUAUAUUUUUCACUUAAUAUAAUAUCCAAAUUACUCUUUUCAGUUACAUACCCAUUGUUAGACAAAAUCAACAACAAAUAACCAAAAAAUUUGCAACCAAAAUAUUACAAAAAAAUAAACUUUAACAUCAUAAAUAUUUUUAUCAACAUAUUAAAGUUAGUUAUUGAAAUUUUUAUGGUGUUAAACUUCACUCUUUGUAAUAUUUUGGUUACAGAUUUUUUUGAUUAUUUGUUGUUGAUCGUGUUUGACAAUGGAUUUGUAACUGAAAAGAACAAUUUGGAUCUUACAUUAAGUGAAAUAUAUAAAAAUAUUAUACUAUUUUUUAUGGCAUAUGUGAUUCUUUUUUUUUUUUUUUUUUUAUCAGAACGGCAACAUUGUAUUAAUAGUAAACCAAUUACAGUAUAGGUGGGCAACCGCCCUCACAAUCUGCCUGGACUUGUUCCAGCAGCCAAACUGGGAAGUUUUCCUUCCAUUCAGUAUUUUGUUCCAAAGUAAUAGCUACUUUAGCUAGUUUAUGGCUAACAAAGUUGUUCACCCUAUUUGCAAAGGUAAAACAACAUUCAUCAAAUUUUAUUCAUGUACAAUUGUUGCUAUCACCACGUCCUCCUCCUCCUCCUCACUGCACACUACUUGACUACCACCCUUCGCCAACCUUGCUGUUGCAUGUGCAACUAUCAUGGCCUCUCUUAGCGCCUUUGCUUCUUCGACCUUUGGACUGGCACAGCUAAAAUUUGGAACAGCCCAGGCCCACCCGCAAUCUUCCCAACCAAUCCCUGGCCACCCUUUUCCCACCCAGCUUCUAUGGCAUGUGUGAUUCAAUCCUUCUUGAUAGGAUUGGUAAUAGAGGCAGAGGGGGGAGCCGGCUGCAUCCGGUCUACUUUUCAUAGAUAGUACAAUAUUGCGAAAUCGAUCGCAUUCACACAAGAAUAUUUCGAAGUCAUUGCAUCGCUAAGUUGCAAAAAAGUACAAACACUUGUUAUUAUAUAGCUUAAGAUUCAAAACUUUAGAGCACAACCCUCCACCUAACACAAUUGAAUAAUGAAUAUUCACGAUUGUCAAAUCUGUCAAAGCACAGUUUGAGGACAACCCAUUCCAACCUGCAAAAGAUUUUUGACUUUUUUAAAGUUGUUGAGAGCUGUAAAAAGACUUACCAUGCUUACAUCUUCCGAGCCUUGGGAGUUAAAAAUGAAGGCACUGAGUGCUAUAAAAAGGGGGCUAGAGGCUGCCUAGAAGCAUAUCAGCCUAAAACAAGAAUUUGUAGUUAUGAUGGGAAGCAAAGCAAAAGCAAUGGGGUCUGGGCUGACUCCUCUUCUUACCACUGUUUUAGUGGUAUUUGUUGCUCUUGGCUUGCCCUCAGAAACUGCAGCUGAUGAUCACUACAAGUAUUCAUCUCCUCCUCCUCCUUACCACUAUCCCUCACCACCACCUCCAGUGCAUUUACCUCCACCAGUGUACAAAUACAAGUCCCCACCACCACCUCAUCAUGUUUACAAGUACAAAUCUCCACCACCCCCACCACCACACCCAGUUUACAAGUAUAAGUCGCCACCACCACCUCCUCAUCCGGUAUACAAGUACAAGUCUCCUCCGCCACCUCCUCAUCCGGUACCACACCCAGUUUACAAGUAUAAGUCACCACCACCACCUCCUCAUCCGGUACCACACCCAGUUUACAAGUAUAAGUCUCCUCCGCCACCAGUUUACAAAUAUAAGUCUCCUCCACCACCACCUCCAGUGUACAAAUACAAGUCUCCACCACCACCAGUUUACCACUACAAGUCUCCACCACCUCCUCCCCCAGUUUACAAAUACAAGUCUCCACCACCACCAGUUUACCACUACAAGUCUCCACCACCUCCUCCCCCAGUUUACAAAUACAAGUCUCCACCACCACCACCACCAGUUUACCACUACAAGUCACCACCACCUCCUCCCCCAGUUUACAAAUACAAGUCUCCACCACCUCCUCACCACUACUAAGCAAUUGCUUCUGAGGUAAUAACACUUGUUCAAUAUACACACUUCUGCAUGAUAAAACAUAUCUCUAUCAACACAAACUGUCAUGUCUAUCAUGCUAAGUGCCUUCACUUCAUCCACGAAAAUGACUGCUAGAAAAUUUUUUUUUAAGUUACCAAAGAAAAGCAUCAUUUUUUCCCUCUGUUAUCAAGAACUUGUACAGUAUGUAGAUUAAAGAGUUUUUAUUUUAACUAGCUUAUCAACUUAGAAAUGCAUAUAACUGAUAGCCAGCUGAAUAUUUGCAGGCAAAGGAGAAGGAAACCAGUGUUUGGACCUUCUUGAAGAUGUAGAAGCAUAAGAAUAAAAGCCCAAUGUGAAGAUGAUGAUUUCAAGUUUUUCUACGUUACCAUUUCUAUAUCUAAAUUCGUUGUAGCGCCUUAGUUCCUUUGUUUAUGGGAUUUGUAUCGUUUUACGUACCAUGCAGUACAUGUCAUGUUUGUAAGGUUUUCUAUCCUGCCGGCAAAUCGCAGGUUCCAUGUAAUAAAUCAAUACUAUUUAUAUUACGACACUUUUCUCUGUUUCUCUUAUAUUUGUUUGGAUUGAGCUUUAUUUCCCCAAAUUUAUUUGCUUACAUCAUCAUUACAAUUUCUAAUACACCUUUUUACCUUCCCGAUUACCUUUUUAUCUCACAUACAUCACAUCACAAAAAGUGCUACAGUAAAAAUAUCUCUAAUAAUUCACAAUCCAAACAGACUUUUGUCUUUAAUAUUCUUAAUCAUAUUUUUAACAAAAAUAUUCAAAUACUUAGGUAAUCUGGUCUAAUGCUAAUUGUAUGUUUUACUUUUCUUUUUCACCUGCUCCCCUUUUCAACUCAAACGGAUGCAAUAGUUUGUGAUCCCUGUUUAAGACGGAAGCAUGAUACUAAUGAAUAUAUCAUUGAAACUCAAGGAAACUAACAUUAUGAAAAGUGUAAAUCUUGAUUUGAUGCAACUAUUUAUUCGUGGAAUAUAUAGUUACAAAACUCAAAUUCUGACUGCGCCAUUGAUAAAUUAUUAAUGACGCUAUCAUCAUUAUUUAUCCCUAACUAGUUUCGACUACAACUGAACCCAAUAUUUUCCCCAUGAUAAAAGUUUUUGACUAUUUUACUGGCCUCUCUUCAAAUUUUAAAAAUUACACUAAUCUUCAUUGAGAUUAAUUAUCUUGUAACAUUUAGUUCCGAUCAAGAAUUUAAAAAUGAUAUUAUGAGAGAAAAAAUAAUAUAAUUUUAUCAUUGCCCCCCAUCUUGCUAUAUUAUUUAAUAAAUUUAAUAGCAACCCACACAUUAAAGAAAAAUACUAAAAUUUGCUACUUUUCAUUAAAGAUCAAAUUGCAUAUGCCAUAAAACAUAGUAUAUCAUUCUAUGUGUUUCACCUAAUGUAAGAUCCCAAUUGUUAUUUUCAAUUACAAACCCAUUGUCAAACAUGAUCAACAACAAAUAACCAAAAAAUUUGCAACCAAAAUAUUACAAAAAAAAAUAAACUUUAACAUCAUAAAUAUUCUUACCACCUCCAGUGCAUUCACCCUCACCAACCACUAGUUUACAAGUCACCCCCACCACCUUACCACUAUUCCUCACCGCCACCCACAGUGCAUUCACCUCCACCACCACCUGUUUAUAAGUCACCUCCACCACCUUAUCAUUAUUCGUCACCACCAUCUGCAUUGCUUUCACCUCCAUCAUCACCAGUUUACAAAUCACCACCACCAUCUUCCCCAGUGUACAAGUCCCCUCCACCACCAAUUUACAAGUCUCCGCCGCUAUGUCCCCCAGUAUAUAAGUCAUCCCCACCACCGCCUCCAAUGUACAAGUCUCCGCCGACACCAAUCUACAAGUACAAUUCACCACCACCCAUGCCUCCAGUUUACAACUCCUUGCCACCACCUAUUUACAAACACAAGUCUCCCCCACCACUUCCUCCGGUAUACAAGUCAUCUCCACUGCAUCCUCCAAUUUAUGAGUCUCCUCGUCCACCAGUUUACGAGCACAAGUCUCCUCCACCGCCUCCUCCAGUAUAUAAGUCACCACCACUAUCUCCUCCAGUACAUGUCUCCACCACCGCCUAUUUACAAAUCUCCGCCUCCUCCAGUUUACAAUUCCCCACCACCACCAAUAUACAAGUCUCCACCUUCAUCCAACCAUUACUACUAUAAUACUCCUCCUCCUCCUUCGCACUACUGAGGAAUUGCAUCCAAGUUUUGAGGUAAUAACGCGUAACCAGUAUAAACUUUUGUAUGAUAAACCUUAUCCCGAUCAACACAAACUGCCAUGUGUAUCAUGCUAAGUACGUACGCUUAGAUCCAUGAAAAUGACUAGUAGAAGGUUAUCCUAAGAACCAAGGAACAUUAGUUUUCCCUCUGUUUCCAAAAACUUGUGUUUGUUUAACAUGCUUAUCAACUUGGAAAUGCGCAUUGCUAAUAGCCAACUGAAAUUUUUGCAGGCAAAUUGGGAAGAGAAUCAGUGUUUGAGCGGUUCAUGGAAGAAUAAGAAUAAAAGCCCAAUGCGAGGAUGUUCUCAAGUUUAUUAAUGUUUCCGUUCUAUUUUGUAAAUUGAUUUUUGCGACUUAAUUAAUUCCCUGUUUGUGGGGUUCGUGUUGUUUUACCUACAUGCCAUACAUGUUUGUAAUGAUUUUUAUUGCAAAAUGCCGGUCCAAUAAAAUAACUGUAUUCAUUUUGUGUCUUUUGAGUAAACUUCUAUUGGUUCUACUACUUAUUUUACGAUAUUUUUUUUCUCUCUUUCUCUUACAUUUUCCGUUUAAUAUUAUUGAUAAUUUUUUUAACAAAAAAGGUUGAUAUACUUAGGUAGUUCACUAGUUUGGUCUAAUCCUAACUUCAGGCUUGUCUUGUCUUUUAUCUCUACAUACCUUUUCAACUCAAAGGAUGCUACUAUAAUUUGUGAUCAUUGUAGUGGUGAUAUUCCGAGCUAUUACAUAUAAUUUAAGGCAGAGAUUUGAUCCUAGCGAGUAUCUCACUGACAGAUUAGGAAACAUCAUGAAAAGCGUAUAUCUUGAAUUAGUGCAACUAUUUCUUAGGGGAAUUUAUAGUUACAAAAUUCCAAAUUUUGAGAUUCUAUUACUGAUUAAUUAAGGACGUUAUCACUAUUUUUUUUUAAUUAUCACCAUUAAAUACCCCACAUACUAUAAGUUUUUUUAGGGCACAGGAAAAGAGGUGGGCCGAUGUUUAGUUAUCUACAAAAGUUCAAAUUUUGUAGAUAAAUUAUCAUGCGCCCUUAAAGAGUGCAGAAUACCAAAAAAAAAAAAAAAAAAAAAUCAUAUACUAUAACUAAUCCUAAUAUUUUUCCCUACGAUAAACUAACUCUUAUCCAUUUCUUUAGAUGAUGAAAGGAAAUAGUUAGUCACAUAUCCUCUAGUGAUUACAACAGCAUCAAAACAAAUUAGCACUCUUUUCCCGUAGUUUAAAAAUCCCUCAGCCACUAAGAUUUUGCAUAUCGAACGAAUUAAGGAACAUAGGCGCUUCGUGCUGGACAACAGUGUCCUUGUUGACGAUGCAUCCGCAUAUACUUCCUUAAGCAUUUUGAUUAUUUUAUGAUUCGAAUUUUUCUUGUCUGACAGCUGGACUUAAUUGAAAAACUCAAGUAAUAAUAUUCCAAAGCUGAUUCGUCAAAGUUUACCCAAUUGGUGAAACUUUCUUAAUAGAGCUGACUUUGUAUUACGUGACAAUGAUAUGGAUGCUCAAAGUUUUCAAUGGGAAAUUUAUAUGAGCUUUUCACGACAAAAUGUGUUCCGAUAAAGGUUCAUUCCAGAGGUUAAAAUUUUGUUUGUUAAAAAUUUACUUCUCAAGUCUUUGAUGCGAAAGUCUUGGUAUUUCCAAAAAGUCUUGAAAUCGCAGCAUAUAAGCCACUUUCUGUUCUCUUUUUUUCAUUGAAGUCUUUCCAAAUGUCAGUUCCAAAAGGAGUUUUUUAUGAAUUAUGAUAGAUAAUUAAUCUGACGGUCCAUAUAUAUGUGAUUUGCAAGAGGGUGUUUGGCGAAAUGGUUAGGCUUUCUAAGUAAUGAUAGGAAUGCCAUUUGCAAAGAAGGACAGGGGGCCUGUGCUGUCAUAUUUUAUGCGAUUUGAUCCGUUGUUGUAUAAGUUUAAAUUUUUGACGUGCAAUUGUGCUACAAUAUUAUACUAAAUAUAUGUGUGAAAUAUUUUGUCUAUAUACAUCACUUUUAUCGUGAAUACAACAGCUGAGUAUAAUAAUAUAAUAUAAUGUAAUUAUACACCAAAUAAUGUAACAAAUAUAACAAUCGAUCUGAAUUACACGAAAUCAUAACAACAAGAUCACCGCCUCCCAAAUUUUACAAAAUAAGGUUUUUUUUUUCUUUUAGAUUAUUGAAAAUUUUCAAAAAUAUUCUACAUAAUUUAAAUUUUUGUCCUACAAAAAUUAAAAGAGAUUUUAUAUUGCACGCUUAAGCUUAGAUAUAUUAAAGUUUGCCCCCAAGAUUAAUUUUCCGUUUUUAUCUAUGGUUUCUCAUCUAUGAGCCGAUCCAUAUAGCUAGUUAGACUGUACUCCUCACAUUUGUGGGAUUUGACACCCAAGAUUCUCCUUCUUGGAAUGUAAAAUGUAGAUCUUCUAUGUUAAUAAUUCAGGACCCAACUGUCAUAAACGAAAUGACUGAUCAACUCCUGUAAAUCUAAUUUAACAACAUUUAAAUGGAGAACUUUAGCUAAAAGAAUUAUGGUUAUUUUCCAACAUAUGCAAUCAUUGAUCAGAAUAUAUAUAUAUAUAUGUAAAAGACAUCUUCAGUCAUUUCAUAGCUUACCAGGCAAAUUAACCCCUAAGUGAACCUCUUCGAACAGAACUGACAAUAUGGAUGAAGAUCUGGAUAUUCUUUUAUCCUGACUCCUAAGGGAAAACUGGUUGAUCUAGAAUCAAAAUUUUACCCUAGUUACCCAGGCAACUUUUUUGUUGCCUUUUUUUUUUUUGGUAUAAAGCUCCAAUUUUGCUCCCUCUGUUAAGCUUAUAAUGCAUAUAAUUAUUAAGAUAAUAAAAGUGCCUUGAAUAGUAUUAAUAUAUGCAUUGACUUGAGCUGUCAUCAGUUCGGCCACUUCGAUUCCAUGAGGCCUUUUCAAUUCACACUAGCUAGAAAAUGGGGAGUCGUGAAAACCUUUUGUUCUAUUCAUUGCUAAGAUGCUUUUCUCUAUAAAGAGACUUCCUAACGAAAAUACUUUGUAGAUUUCUUUACUCCAAGUGGUGCAUGAAAAAUUAAUAUUUUCAAUUAACAAAUAAAAUUCCCUUUUUUUGGUGUAGAUUUCAUCCAUCCAGCUGUUAACACAUUCUAUAAAUCCGAAUUGACUAAUCUUUUCAUUUCCAUUUUCCAACUUGCGAAUACGGCAUCUUAUAUAAUGUCUGCUAAACACUAUAUAUUCUCUGCCAAAUAUGAAUACAUAUCACUUUUCUGAGCAAGUGCAGAGUCAUUAUCAUUUUUAUUCCCACAUAACAAAUUAGUGGUUGAGCAUCUUUACAUGCUAUCAGGUCACAAGUUAAUAAUCUUUUAAAGAACAUGUUAAAUUAAUUUAUUGGUAUGAAUAGUCAAAGAAGUAUGUUAAAGUUAGCAAUCUUUAAAAUAAUAUGUUAAAAUCAUUAGUACAAAUUAGUCAGAGAAGUAGCAUAAACACCACGAUGCAAUUAAUACUUUCAAUCUCAAGGUCUCUCUUACGGAAAUUUGCAUCGGUCAACAUACACAAAGCAUAAUUGUAUGCACGUCUCUCUAUCAUGGAAUUUGCAUAGGUCAAUAUACACUUGGCAUAGUUGAUAGUUGUAUGCGCGUAGGCAUGGCCAUGGUUCCAUUUGGAACUGGGAAUCAGACCGAAACCGGAUCGUUUGGAACCAGAUCAGAACCGGAAUCAAAACCAUGAAACCAGAACCGUGAUAGAACCUUGGAUAAAGGUUCCGGUUCUGGUUCUCUAAAAAAUAGAACCAGAACCAGAACCGUUAAAAAUAAUUAAUAUAAGUGGUGAGAUAAUUCAAAAAAAAUUAGUUGUGUUUAAUAGGUUUUAAGAAAGUUUAAAUUUUAUGGACUUUCUAUAUAUUUUAUUAAUUAUUUAAUUCUUUCUAUUCAUCUAAUAUUUAUCAUUAUAAUUUGCAAGUAUUAAAUUAUUACUUAAAAUUUUUUUUUUUUUUUGCUUAUUUGCUAUCAAAUGACAAGUUUUGAUGGUAGUAGCUCAUCUUCAAAAUCAAGCAAGCAAAAAAAUAUUUUUUGCAAUAUUUCUUCAAAUGGAAUCUUCAACAUUGAUGAUUGUCCAACUCAAGAAAGUCAACAUAUGACAACCAUUUGAUAGUGUAAUGUAUUUUUUAAUUUGACAAUGUAAUGUACUUUUCAUAAAAUUUAUAUUAUCUAUUUAUUACUUCUUACUUUGUAGAAUAAUAAUAAAAUUAAAAUAUGAUCUUUAUUUUGUAUUUAUUUUUUUACGUUUUAUUUGAAAUUUUAAAUAUAUUGUUAUAUUCGUAUUAAAAUUGGUAAGGAUAAGGAAUUAAAUAAAAUUGUAUAUAACCAUACAGAACCGGAAACCGGAACCAGAACUAUAAGGAACCAAAAUCAGAACUAUGCGGUUCUGGUUCUACCUCUUUGAAGAACCAGAACCAGAACCAUUUUAUAUGGUGCGGUUCUGGUUCUACCUUUUUUAAGAACCAGAACCGGCGGUUCUAGAACCGUGGUCAUGCCUAUAUGCACGUCUUUUAUUUUAUUUUAUUUUAUUUUUUGGUACUGUUCUUCCUUGCUUUAUAGUAUGCACGUUUAUUUCUUUGGAUUGCUUAAGAUUAUAUUGUUAAUAAUAGGGCAUUUAACCAUAAAUUAUAAUAAUUAUGAAGUAAUAUAUAUUAGAAAAUUAACACAAUUAUGAUUUUUUUUUUUUGUAAAUUCAAAUUUUAUUAAUAAGAAAUGAAAUAGACCGUAAGCAAAAACAAAAUCCUACAACAACUCUAGGACUCUACACCUUAUAUAAAAAAAAACUAGGACUCUAUACCUCAGAGAAGCUAAACAAUCCAACAAAUAAAAUGCAAAAUAAAUCACAAUAACGCAAAUUAUGUUAAGCUAAUAAAUACUACCAUGCAACAAAAUUUUUGUCUUUGUCCCGCGUGAAACUACGAAGUCAAGAAUUGACUCCUUUAACCAGUAUUGCCAGCGGGGCUCCGUCAGCAAGAUACAACUUUGCAAUUUUAUACAAUAGAAAUCCUCAAAUAGCUAUUUUGACAGGCAAAUUAAGCAUUAAUUUUGGUAUCCCUUCAUAAAAUACAAGAGUACUUUUGAUUAUAUCUAUAGAUCAACUUUCUAGGCUUGAUGUAUUAUAAGAAAAAUCUGCCUAAACAUUUUGAUAGCAUUUUUCCAAAAGCAGAAGAUGGAAAAUUGCCCAUUUGUAAUGGGGAGUUCGUGAUCUUUUCCUCAUUCUAGUCUACUUACAAUUCUUGGAAAAAGGAAUACUCACAUCUCAAACAACAGCCAGCUCAUCUGCGCUGUCCUGCAGAAUUCUAGAAAGUUAGGUGGCAAUGUUAAUAACAUUUCAAAAUUGACUGCUGCGAUAACUAAUUCGAUGGCUUACUACAUGGUCAACGUUUGGAUCCCUUCCUGCCGGCACUGUCCUUUUUGGAUGCACAUUUUUUUUCUCUAGGUAAUAUAAUCACCCAACUCAUUUCUUUACAAAUGCACCUUUAAUCACCACCAAAAGGUGUGGACAUGAUCUUUACCCUAGAAAACUAUUCACCGACAGGCAAAUUGACGUCAGAAAUACUAAGAGGAAUUCUAGUUUCCUUCGGGUUAAUGCCAUUUUGUACCCUUCAACUGUAACUCGAUUUCUAAGCUGUAAUUUGUGACAUUAUAGUCCUUAAACUAUGAAACCCUUCUUACUUAAGUAUAAUGGUUAAUACAAUACUGGUGAUUAGACAAGUAUGAAGCAACCAUAACAAAAAAAAAUCCAAAAUUAGAGAAAAGAAAGAUGUUUCGCGACCAAAGUAUGUAUCAAGGCAUAGUAUAGAAAUAAAAGUGUCAAAAUUAAGAGUUUAGGGAUAAAAAAGAAUCAAGAUAUAGUUUAGGGAUUGAUUUGUCUCAAUUAGAGCUUAGGUGUCAACUAAGAAGAGAGAUAUAGUUGAAGGGUAGAAUAUAGAUAUAAAGGUUCAAUGAUUGAUAUCAGUGAGACAAUGAUAACUUUGGAUUAUUACCAACCUCUUCUGGAUGGGAAAAGGAAAUAGAGAAGAAAGUCGGGCCUGGUCUAAGCCUGUUUCGGAGGCAAAACAACAUUAUGAAAUCACCGGCAUUCAGACAAAUAUGUCAAAGUCACCGGCAUGCUAAGUUGCAAAAUUUAUACAAACACUUAAUAUUAUAUUGUUCUUAAAAUUUUUGUUUAAGAUUUAACAAUUAGAGCACGGUACACGAAUUAGAAAUAUUAAAUAAUGAAUGUUCACGAUUGAUAAAGUUAUCAAAGUACAGUUUGAGGACAACCCAUUCCAACGUGUACAAGAUGUUUAGCCUUUGAAAAGUUAAUUAGAGAAGGUGACGAGAUUUUACGAGGCUGACAUCAUCUAGGCCUCGAGAGUAAAAAAUGAAGACACUGAGCGCUAUAAAAAGAGGGCUAGAUGUUGCCUAGAAGCAUAUCAGCCUCAGACCACGUUUUGUAGCAAUGGGGAGCAAAGCAAAAGCAAUGGGGUCUAGGCUGACUCCUCUUCUUACCACCGUUUUAGUGGUAUUUCUUGCUCUUGGCUUGCCUUCAGAAACUGCAGCUGAUUACUACAAGUAUUCAUCUCCUCCUCCUCCUUACCAUUAUUCCUCACCACCACCUCCUAUGCAUUCACCCCCACCACCGCCAGUUUAUAAGUCACCCCCACCACCUUACCACUACUCCUCACCGCCACCUCCAGUGUAUUCAUUUCCACCACCUUUGCCAAUAUACAAGUCUCCGCCACCACCUUACCAUUAUUCCUCACCACCACCCCCAGUGCAUUCACCCCCACCACCACCAGUUUACAAGUCUCCCCCACCACCUUACCAGUAUUCCUCACCACCACCUCCGGUGCAUUCACCACCACCUCCUCCAGUUUACAAGUCCCCGCCACCACCUUACCAUUAUUCCUCACCACCACUUCCAGUGCAUUCACCUCCACCAUCACCGAUUUACAAGUCUCCACCACCACCUUACCAAUAUUCCUCACCACCACCUCCACUGCAUUCACCUCCACCACCACCGAUUUACAAGUCACCUCUACCGCCUCUUCCAGUUUACAAGUCUCCGCCACCACCUUACCACUAUUCCUCACCACCACCUCCGGUGCAUUCACCUCCACCACCACCGGUUUACAAGUCACCUCCACCACCUCCUCCAGUUUACAAGUCCCCGCCACCACCUUACCAUUAUUCCUCACCACCACCUCCGGUGCAUUCACCUCCACCACCACCGGUUUACAAGUCACCUCCACCACCACCUCCAGUUUACAAGUCCCCGCCACCACCUUACCAUUAUUCCUCACCACCAACUCCAGUGCAUUCACCCCCAUCACCACCAGUUUACAAGUCUCCGCCACCACCUUACCAUUAUUCCUCACCACCAUCUCCGGUAAAUUCACCUCCACCACCACCGGUUUACAAGUCACCUCCACCACCUCUUCCAAUUUACAAGUCCCCGCCACCACCUUACCACUAUUCCUCACCACCACCUCCAGUGCAUUCACCCCUACCACCACCUGAUAGGGUAUAAUUUGUUAGUAUUUUUAUUAUUAAUUUUCCCUUCUAUCCCUGACAAAUAUUGUGUUAAUUGCUGAUAUUUACUCAUAUUUGGUAUUUGGAAUCAAUUUCAGGAAUGAAGCAGAAAACUACCAAAAAGGAGGGACUUUGUGAAAAAUAUGGAGACUUCUAAGGGCUUCAAUCCUUGGGCCCUUGAAUUGGUGGGGGACCACAAGCUAGUGAAAGGCAUUUGGUCAUUUGGGCUUCAAAGAAAGCAACGUAGAGAGACUUGGAACAAGAAGUACUUGGGAGGCUUUGUCCACAUGUGUGGGGACCACCUAGAUAGCUUUUAGUCAUCUUUCUUUUGUUGCUUUAAAAGGGGACAACGUACAGAAGCAAAAGAUAUCUAGGGCUUUAGUUUUAGUUUUUAGUUUAGUUCUAGUUUUCUUUCUUUGGACUGGCCUCUGACACACGCCAGGUAUUCGACAAUAUUCCCCAACGGGGAGAUUUUCUCAUGAGGCGUGGUUAAGCUUUUCAAGGGGACACUGACGAUUUGGUUCAAUUUACUGUGAGAUCGAAUCUGUUUUAUUUUUUUCUUCAUUUUGGUUUUUAUAUGUUCCUUGAUUUUAAUUGCUAUGGCCUUGUGUAUGAUUGAUUAGUGCACAAUAAUUAAUUAUUCAUAUAGGCUAUUUUUGCUAAAUAGGGGUAAUUGAAUCCGUAAUUGUUCGUUAUCUCUACCUCAGUAGCAACUGGCGUAAUUGGGUUUAUGUCAGGGGAGCAUAUGAUCUAAUUUAAACAAACCCUCGUAGCGUAUUUGUUGGUUAGGAUUGGGCCUUUCUAAUUAUUAUGCAAUCUAGAAAUUAAAUCCUACGGUCGUACCUAGGGUUAUUUUUGGGUUAGAGAAAUAGCUAACGGUCGUACCUUAGCUAUCGAGAAAUUAAGGAAGGGUUGGUUGUUUAUCGCGUGCAUGACAACUAUAACUAAUCUAUUGCUAAAUGUUGGAAUUAUUUCUGCAUCAAUGAUCAGUGCCUGAACCAUUUCUGAAGUGUACCCUUGGCUAGAGUUUCUCUUAAUUAUUUCUUUUAAUCAAUUAUUUUCUGCACUUGAUUUAUUUAGUUAGCAUUUAAUCCAAGAACCUCCCAUACUCUGGACUCUAGAAGAAACGAAUUAUCCCCAAUCCCUGUGGAUUCGACCCUGCUCGCCGCUAUAUACAAAAUCUGUAUUUUUCUUGAGUAGGUAAUUAUUAUUGCACAGGUUCGGCACCUGUCACCACCAGUUUACAAGUCUCCGCCACCACCUUACCAUUAUUCCCCACUACCACCUCAAACGCAUUCACUCCCACCACCAGUUUACAAGUCACCGCCACCACGUUCUCCAGUAUACAAAUCACCUCCACCACCUCCUCUAGUUUACAAAUCUCCACCACCAUCAAUUGAUAAAUACAAGUCUCCUCCAGUGUACAAGUCAUCUCCACCACCUGCUUACAAGUCUCCACCUCCUUCAGUUUACAGUUCCCCACCACCACCAAUCUACAAGUCUCCACCUCCACCCUACCAUUACUACUACAAUUCUCCUUCUCCUCCUCCUCCUUCUCACUACUAAGCAGUUGUAUCCAAGUUUUUGAGGUAAUAACGCUUAACCAAUAAAUUAACUUUCGCAUGAUAAACCUUAUCCCUAUCAAGACAAACUGCCAUGUGUAUCAUGGCAAAUCCGUACACUUAGAUCCAUGAAAAUGAGUGGUAGAAGGUUUUCUUAAGAACCAAGGAACAGCAAUAGUAUUCCCACUGCUUCCAAAAACUUGUGUAUUAAAUAGAUUAACGAAUUGUUUAACAUGCUUAUCUACUUGAAAAUGCACAAUACCCAUAACCCAUUGAAAUUUUUGCAGGAAAAGGGGAAGAGAAUCUGUGUUUGAGAGCUUCAUGAAGAUGUUGAAGAAUAAGAAUAAAAGCCCAAUGCGAGGAUGUUUUCAAGUUUUUCUAUGUUUCCACUUUAAUUUGUAAAUUGAAUUUUGCGACUCAAUUAAUUCCCUGUUUGUGGGGUACAUAUUGUUUUACGUACCAUGCCGUACAUGUUUGUAAGGAUUUCUAUCCUAUUGGCAAAAGUCGGUUCCAUACAAUUAAUCAAUUCAUUUCACUUCUAUUGGCUCUACUAUUUAUGCAUGUUACGACAUUUUUUCUCUCUUUCCCUUAUAUUUUGCCUUUAAUAUUAUUGAGUCAAUAGUAAAAUUAUACUAUUAUAAAUAGGUAGUUUGGUCUAACGCUAAAUUCAUGUUUGUCUUUCUUUUAUUCCCUUUACAUCUCAAAGUAUACCAUAGUUUGUGAUCAUUGUGGUGAUGAUACACUACAACAAAAAUGGCCUUUCCUGACAUGUCUAUAAGGACACUUGCUGGUUUUUGUCAUUAUAGCACUUCUAUCAUGACAUUUGUUAUCAAUUCACUAAUUUAUACUUUUUUUUAUUUUAUCUGAUAUAAAAAUAAUAAUGUGUCUUUAGAUUUCCUAUCAUGGCAUUUUAGAAAAUGUGAGAUACAACGAAAAAAUUAAAACAUAAAACGAUGUCGUUUGAUUUUGACGGAAGAUUCAUUUGCCAAAACACUUAGUGAAAUCUCAAAACUUUCAUUGUGUCGAUUCUUCUCCUCUCUCUCACAAACCCUCUCUCUCGGCAGACUAUCUCUCAAAACUCCCCCAUUUUGGUUCUUUUGUCUUCCGCCUUCGCCGCCGCCCCACUCCUCCAUUUUCGGUUGCUAACUUGGCCGCUUCUCUGCCCUAUUCGGUCAACCACGACACCUACACCAAUAAGUCUUCGCUCUCUUUGCUAGGACAAAAGGAAUAAAAAAACAGAUACUCAUGUUCUUUCCUUUUUCUUCUUUCCUCUGAAACCGAUCCCCAUGCUUCUCCGUACUGACUAGAUAUUCAGGUUGAGCGUGUUGAGGAGUAGAGUAGGCGAAGGUUGCCGCCAUCGUCUCAUUGAAGUCCAGCCACUACAGCGGAAAUCAUCACUGUAAAGUUUCCCGUACUCUUAUACCUUUUUUCCCCCUUAAUUGUAUUGUUUUCUUCUUUGUCUGCAAUCAUGUCGGUUAUGCUUUACUUUCGUCUUGUUAAUCGAUUUUAAGUGGCUGGAAUUGAUCAUAGGUUUGAGUAGAGUUUUAGAUUUAAAAUUCAAGCUCAGGCCGUAUAAGGAACUGAUGAAAAAGAAAUUUCAAAACUUUUCAUCCUCACUACUUGUUUGUCGGAAGGUUCGAAUGAAGAAAGAAGGAAAUUUGCAAUGGAAGUGAACAGAGAGAGAUGAAAGUGAUUGGAGAGUGAAAUUUUGCCUUGGUGAACUUUUCUUUUGUUUUUGAUCAUCAAGUGCAAUAGAAAAGUACAUUUAGUACAAUUUCCUAACUAUCUUAGAGGAAAUCUUGUUUGGAACUUUCGCUGGAUGCUAUGCAACUUAUUUUUGAUGCUUUGGUCAUGAUUGUUGUUCUGUUUGCUACAGCCCCAUAAGAAGGUUUUUUUUUAAUUAUUAUUAAAAAUUACCGCAUAGCUUGGAUACUUUUGCAUUCCAUGCACCAUGUCAGCUAUUCAUAGCACAUAGCACUAAAGUAGAGCACUCUGUAAUUUUGGAGAUGUUUCAUCUACGCAUUCAAUUAUUUCGAGUUUUUAGUCCAAUGGGUAAUAAAUUGGUUGUACAUCACUUAUUAUGUUGCAUCCCAGUUAUAUUGACCUAGAACAAUUACCAUAUAGACAAAAAGAAGAUAUUAACUGCAGCAAAUUGAAGAAUAAAAAGAGUAUUUGUCAAAUCUUUUCUCCCAACAUCCCUCGUAAUUCUUUCCCCCAACCUCAACUUAGGCACACAUUGUGUCUCUCCUUUUCUUCUUCAAACUAAAUGUUCUUCUCAUGGACAAAUAAGAAUAAUUUGAAUUUAUGAGGAUACAGAGGAAGAGAAUGAAGAUGGAGAAGUUAAUUGUUAUAACUCCAGUUAUGAUAAAGUUGAAGAUGACUUUACAUAAGAUGGAUUAAGUGACUAGUGCUCUAUUGUAAGAUGCUGGGUGCAUAUCUUAAUUUCUUUGAAUUGACUUUAUAUCUCAAAAAAAAAAAAAAUUGAAGGGAUUCUAUAUUUAUUUGACUUGUGUGGUAUUUAUUUGUGUGACUGUCUUGUUUUUUGUCUGCUUUUAUGAUCUAGAGCAUUGAUUACUCUAUAUUUUUAGACAAGAAUAUAUUGUUUUUGUUGUAGAAUUUCUGUAGAAAAAAUACAGAUCUUGCACAUUAAACCCAAUGGGGACUGUUUGCACUAUAAUGCAUUAUGGGCAACUAACAAAUUGGGAUUUGCUAGCCAUUCAAUAUUUUGUAAAUCCUCUGCAGUGUAACAUACUGGAAAUUGCCUUUCAGUUACAGUCUCCAGCGAAGUGUCCUGAUUUAGUCUUUCAAGUUGGAAUGUGACUAAUAGUUUCUUAUCUUUUAAAAGUUUGCCAAUUUCAGGAGGAUUGGUUACAUAGUUUUUUAAGAUUUCUUUCCUCCAGUGGGCACUUAAAAAAAUAGUGAUUAUUGAGUGCUUUGAUCUGUUGAAAUUUAAUUGAAAAUUUUCCGAUCAUUAAUUGACACACUUCAAAAUACUAAUGACUACAUAUGUCAAAGCACAACCUAGGAAAUUAUAUCAGCACGUGCUCCGAUUGUAUGGUACUAAACUUGCAGUGCUUCCACAAAGAAUGUGAAGAGCACAUAUAUACUGAUCAUUGAAAAGAUAGAUUUCUAUUAUGAUUCUGCUAAUGUUUGAAGCACUAAAUGUGAAAUUGCUAUCUAUUUUGAAUGAGUAUCUGUUUCUAUGAAAACUUUGGACAAAUAUGCAUAUGACAAUAGUUUCUAAUGAAGUUACAAACGAUGCUGAACCUUUGGCAUUAUACCAAGAAGGUGUUAAUCAAGUUAACUGGUUACACUUCUAAGCCCUUGCCUGUGGGCAGAAUCUGAGCUAGCUUUAUUCAUUUGUAGCAAGAAGUAAUUUUGCAUGCCAAUGCCAUGCAUUGUUGACUAACCUGUCGCAUUCAGUGUUUGGACAGGUGGGAGUAUAUUGGCGGCACUUGGUUCCUUUCAGCAAAUUUGGUUUUCAAAAUCUGAGUAAGCUUUUACAUCUACUCUACCUUUCAAUAUUCAACUUUUCUUCUUUUUUUCUCCCCAUUUUCAGUCUGUUUUAUCUCUCGAUUAAUAGGUUUGAGGAACAUGGAACUUCUUAUGUUCAAAGAAAAUGCCCGUAAAGUACUUUACUGGUGCGGACAAUUAUCACAUUAGACAGAAAUUCAUGGAGCUGACUUCACUUUGAUUAGUUCGCUGACGGUAUGGGUUGCUCGGUUUUAAUAUCCUGCUUUAUAGGAGCCCAAGCAAUGUACUAUAUAUAUACUAUACCUCUCGCGGAUCGUUGCUAAUGUUGUACAAUUACGUUACCUGACUUUUAGCAUUUCUUUCAACUGGUUAGGGAUGAGAGUCUUUUUGUUUGUGCACAAGAAAGUCUUUCAAGUUAUUGUAAAUGAGAAUCUUUCGGUAAUUUUUUGGGAUUUUAGUACUUGCUUUGAGCAUUUGUUUGCGAUUUUAGUACUUGCUAUGUUUGUACUUGUUAUUGACUUUUAAUUCAAUGAAUUAUAUUUGAGUAUCGACUUCUUCUUUUAAAUUGCUAUAUGCAUUCUGCCUUUUGGGAUAAUUUUACAAGUCCCUUGGGAUUCUGGUUGAUGGAAUGUACAGCAGGGAGGACUAAUUACAGGUUGCUUCCAUAUGAAAAAAAAACAGGAAAAAACUCCUGGCAAUUAGAAGUGUCAGCAUAGCUUAGCUUCAAAAAACACUAAUGACAAAUGGGCAUGUCAUCCAAAGCAGUGUAAAUUCACAUGGCUACGUGUCCUUAAAGCCAUAUAUUAAGACAAUUCAAGAUGCCUUCAUAAAUUGGAUAUACUACUAAUCCGCUACUGAUGUUCUAAUGCUAUACGGACACUUUCGAUUAUCACAAAAAAAAGUUUUUGUUGGCAGAGGGAAUGCUAUAGCAGCAUGGUUUUCCUGACACAUUUGAAUGUUGCCAAAGAUUUGAGGCUAUCCCCACAUUGGAAGGGACAACACUCGCCCUAGGUGUGAGGAUAGAUAAAAUGUCAGGUUAGAUUAUCUAUACUGACACCUUUAAAUGCCGCUAAAGGCCAUUUUUGUUAUAGUGAUAUUACCGGCUGGUACAUAUAGUUUAAGGCAAAGACAUGAUAUUAACCUAUCUCAUUGAAACAUAAGGAAAAAUCAUGACAAGUGUGAGUCUUGGAUAAUGCACAAUUUGUAAGUGGAAUUUAUACUUAUAAAACUCAAAAAAAAAAUUUCACAAUGCUAUUACUAAUUAAUUAAGGACUUUAUUGCUAUAAUUUAUCGCUUACUAGUUUAAACUGUAAAUGAUCUCAAUAUUUUUCUCCGUGAUGUCGAUUUCUUUAGACUACGAAAGGGAAAAAUUAGUGACGUAUCCCCUACUUAGUUAUAAACUUUUCCAGUGGUUUUAAAUCCCUCGGGCUAAGGACGUACACUUGAUCCAUGAAAAUGACUAGUAGAAGAUUUUUUUUAAGAAUCAAAGAAAUGCAUUAUUUUUUCGGUCUGUUUUCAAGAAUUUGAGCAGUAUACAGAUUAAAGAGUGUUUUUUUUUAAACUUGCUUAUCAACAUAGAAAUGCACAUAGCUGAAAGCCAACUGAAUAUUUGCAGGCAAAGGAGAAGGCAAUCGGUGUUUGAGACCGUCAAGAAGAUGUAGAAGAAUAAGAAUAAAAGCCCAAUGCGAGGAUGAUUCCAAGUUUCUACGUUACUAUUUCUACAUCUAAAUUGACUUUAGCUCCUGAGUUCCAUGUUUAUGGGGUUUGUACCGUUUUACGUACCAUGCAGUACAUGCUUGUAAGGUUUUCUGUCCUGUUGGCAAGCCGCAAGUCCAUAUAAUAAAUGAAUACUAUUUAUAUUACGACACUUUUCUCUCUUUCUCUUAUAUUUUGUCUUUAAUAUUGUUGAUCAUUUUUUUUAUCAAAAGUAUCAAAUGCUUAGGUAAUUUGGUCUAAUGCUAAUUGUUUUACUUUUAUUUUUCACCUACAUCCCUUUUCAACUCAAAGGAUGCUACAGUUUGUGAUCAUUGUUUAAGACCGAAGCAUGGUACUAAUAAAUAUCUCAUUGAAAGUCAAGGAAACUAACAUUAUGAAAAGUGUAAAUCUUGAUUUGAUGAAACUAUUUAUUCGUGGAAUUUAGAGAUACAAAACUCAAAUUGUGACGGUGUUGCUGCUAAAUUAUUAAGGACAUUAUCACCAUUAUUUUUCCCUCACUAGUUUCAUCUGCAAUGAUCUCAAUCUUUUUGUAUUGAUCGGUUGUAAUGAAUCGCGAUUGAUUGGUUGUAAUCCGCUUGUAUUGAUCCCACUAUUGUGGAUACUUCUACGCUCAACAAAAAAUAUAUAUAUUAAAGAAUUAGCAAUAUUUUUUAGAACAAGUUAAAUUUAUUCAUACAAAUUAGACAAAGAAGUAUUUUAAAGACCAUGAUGAAAUUAAUACUUCCAAGGUCUCUAUUAGGAAGACUUCCUUGCCUUGAGUUGCAGUUGCGUGCAGAUGUUUAUAUUUCAAAUUGAUGGUAUAGUAAAAAUGUUGAAUUUCUUUAUCCCCGUGACUUCAAAAAUAUGAACUCAAGAAAUUAACUUCUUAACCAGUAUGUCAUACAAGCUUCACAAGAAAUGUAUAACUUUGCAACUAGAGUCAAUAGAAAUCGUCACAUAAUUAUUAAUUUUACAUCGAAAUUAAGCCUGUAUGACAUACUGGUUCGAGGUUUGGCCACGCUACCUUCCUAUUGUUUAAAAAUUCUCACAUAAUCCCUUGUACUUUGGACUAAACUCGAAUGUGAAAAGAAACCAUCCAAGCUAGUUUGGGAUACACUUGUUGCACUUUGAACUAAACUUGAACGUGAAAGGAAAUCCCAAAACCAUAUUGGGCAUGAAUUCACACUUAAUAGACCCAAAAAAAGAUGGCGACUGGUGAUGGAGGUGAAAGGCAGUGGGGACUGGUGGAGAGAUUUGAGGAAUAGAAGCAGACGAAAAAGCAACAAAUUUUUGCCAAAAAACGGUGACUUUCAUGGUUAAUAUUGCUACUCUCUAAUUGUACUUGACCAAUACAACAGUGAAAUUGUAAUUUAUGCUGAAGAUGGAGUUUGAUACGUGAAGAGAAUUUUUUAUAAAUUUUAUUUUGACCCAUAAUGUUAUCUUUAGAUACAAAAAAUAUUUUAAAAUUUUGAUUUUGGCCCGGUUAACUUUUGGUAAACAAAAAAUGCUCAUGCUUAGUGACAGGUUGUCGAUGCCUGUGCAAAAAUAAAAAUAAAUCUAGUUGCCAAUUAAAAUAAUCAGAGCCCAAUUCUGAGUACUGGAGCAGGGACUCUAGGUGUGCAAUGGGUUACUUGAUUCACUCUAUUUCCGAAGAGUUUGCUUAACCCGAUAUACCAGAAUGGGAUUGCUUAUUCAAAAGGAAUUGUUGAUUUGUAAACAGGGCAAGUAGGGUCGUAUUCUCAGGUGGGCUGGCGGUGCGCGGUCAAUCGACGGAGAAAGAGAGGAAAGGACGCGGGUGGAGGUUUUUGGGUUUUGGCCAAGAGAAGAGGGAACGCAGGGAAAGAGAGAGAGAGGGGCGGUGCUCGGGAAGGUGAGCGGCGGACGACGGCUAGGAGGGAAAAGGAGGAGCGGCGUGCGAAGUUAGAGAGGAGGAGGGAGGCGGCAUACGAAGGAAAAAGAAAUCAAGGAAGAAGAAAGAAAGAAAAGAGGAAGAAAGAAAAGAAGAAGGAAAAAAAAUAGUUUUUGGGUUUUUUUUCAAUUUUUUUUUAUUUUUUUGAAUUUAAAUGUCAAAUUUUGAAUUUUUGAAAAAAAAAACUGAAGGUUAAAAAGGAAAAUAAUUUUAUUUUGCUAAAAAAAAAUUUUUAUUUUUUUAUUUUUUUUUGUUUUGGAUCGUCAAACACAGCGUGGGCACGCCAAAAUUAUAAAACGUCCACUGAUCUUGGGAGUCACUGACACGGCGUGGGCACGCCAAGAUUUCACUUCCUGCCAACGUCGCGAGAUGUUGAAAUUGUACUAACAUGGCGUGGGCACGCCAAGAUUGGUAAACAUCCACUGGCCUUGGGAGUCACUUUUUGAGUGUCCUCCUCGCGUGGGCAUGCCAAGAUUCUAUGUCCUGGUCACAUUGGAGAAAAAUAUGAAAAUUGACUAGUACCCAAAUGAAAAACGACAAAUCGAAAGAAUUGAACAACAAAAAAUAAUAAAGCUAAUAUUUGGGUUGCCUCCCAAAAAGCGCCUUUUUUAACGUUUUUUGUUAGACGUUGAACACCACUCUUCAAUUUGGAUGUAAUUCAAUUUUCCUUGUAAUCGGUGGUCCUACUCCGGGUUCCAAAUAAUCAUUGAGUGCAGCCUUCUUUCUUUAUUUUCUAUUCAUUUUCACCUCAUAAAUUGCUUUCAUUCCCUGAUAUUUGUUCGCAAGAAUUUUGAAUUUACCCCUACAACCAAACUCAAAAAAUUCUUGCACAAAGGAAUUAGUAGCAUGAAUAGCAAACACAGAAUGAGAGUUAACAGUAUGUUUUAUUGUAUUAAAAAUAUUAAAAUGGACUAUUUCUCCAUCGAAUUCCAUUGUGAGAGUACCCUUACUAACAUCAAUCUUAGUUUGGAUAGUACUCAAGAAUGGCCUUCCUAAUCUAAUGGAUGAUGGAUUUGGGACACUUUCAUCAUCCAUAUAAAGCACAUAAAAAUCAGCAGAAAAAAUUAAUCCAUCUACUUGCACUAAAACAUUCUCAACUACCCUAUCUGAAUAAGUAAAUAUACGAUUAGCCAAUUAAAUUAUUAUCCCUAUUUCUUUUAAAGAUCCUAAAUUUAGGGAAUCAUAAAUUGAUUUAGGCAUCACAUUAAUAGAAACUCCUAAAUCUAGCAUGGCAUUUUUUAGAUUAGAAUGUCCAAUCUUACAUGGGAUAGUAAACAUACCUAGAUUCCCGUAUUUAGGUGGUAGUUUCCUUUGUAAAAUUGCUGAAAUGUUCUCAUCUACCACAAUAUGCUUGUCCUCCCUCAAUUUCUUCUUGUUGACACACAAGUUUUUCAAGCAUUUAGCGUAUUUUGGCACUUAUUUGAUCGCGUCCAACAAAGGAAUAUUGAUUGCCACCUUGCGAAAAAUGACGGAAUUUUUAUAUCAAUGCAAGUUUAAAUUCGAUUUUAUACCCGUUGACUGCAAGUAUACAGGCCGAAAUUGUAAUGUAGGGUAUGUAUCGGGUCGAUCCCACGAGGAGCAAAUUAAACAAGUACUAAGCCCUUAUUUUUCUCUAUUAUUUAGACUCACAAUAAAUUUGAACAGAGAAAGUAUAUUGCUAAAAUUUACAAAUUUGAUAUACAAAUAUAAUUUAACAAAUGCUAAAUGCAAAAGAAGAAAUUUCACUCAAGGAAGAAUUUAGGGAUGUAGAUUCCACUUAUGGCAUAAACAACACAAAUGAAUGGAUUUACCUCUUAUUAUUAUUCUUGUUUAACUAGGGAUUCAUUUCCAAAAUUAUCAAGUCUCAUUUUCAUGAUGAAAUGGCCUAGACCAAUAUAGUUUUCCCUAUUUUCAUGGUGAAAUACUACUACUACUCUGUUUUAUUUCAUGAAAUGCUGAAUAAUCCACCUAAGUGUAUCUCUAUUUUCAUGAACAUACAACUUAAGCUCUACUCAUUUAUUUCCAUUGUUACUACCAAUUCUCAUUGAAUAAUAACAACUAUAAACAUACUAUUGGUGAUCAAUCAAUAACAAGUAAUCACAACUACACAAGUAAACAAGUUAAUACAAAAUAUAACAAGUGUAAAUCACAUUCAAGUCAUAUUAUUUAGCCAUAAGUUUCAUCUACUUCCUAGAUAAAGAAAAUUAGCUACUCAUGAAUGAUUUAACAAUCAAACUCACAAGUUUAUUAAUGCAAAAUAUCAUAAAGUACAAGUACAAGAAAGAUAAAAGAAAUCUUAGCCAAUUGAUGGUGAAUCCCUCCAAUUUCUGCUAUGUUCUUGUACAAGAUGAUUACAACUGAAAACUCCAAAUGCUUCUCUAAGGACUCCUAGCUAGAGAGAAAAUGUUACAAGAAGGAAAAACUAGCUACGUAUGGUCCUGUCCUGCUUCUCCCCUGUGUUUUUGCAUAAAAGGUAGUAGAAAGUCUAUUUUCCUCUUCAUAAUUUCCUCCAUUCAGAUUUUGUAAAAAGAAGUCAAAGAUAUGAUGUUUCCUUUUUUCUACAACUCAUUUGGUCUUCUCUUUUGUUGCAGAAGCAUGUGCCACCGAUUUCUAUCCCUCAAAAUAGUUGAAAAAAUUGUGAGAAAGGUAAAGAAAAACAGCUGUGUCACUUGCUGAGCAGAGAGACAAAUCCGAGCCUCGGAUCCGGGGGUGAAACUGGAUCCGAGGACUUCCCAAGGUGGAUCCGAGGUCGGAUCGUUCUGACCUUGGAUACACUCCUCCAAAAGUACAUACGAGGGCUCGGAUCCCUCUUGUUCACACGGAUCCGAGCUCGAAUCCGUGUUGAUUAAAUUUUCAGUUUUUCACUUCUUUCCUUUUUCUACAUUUUUGCUCCCAAUUUCUUUUGUACUUUGUCCUCUGGAUGAUCCUUGCAUUUCUUUCAACUUCGUGCACGAAUUUCAUACAUCAAUAACCUUCACAAUUUCACAAAAUUAACUCAUUAAUCCACUCAUUUAUCAAGUUUUGAACACUUAAACAAUAUUUUAAGUAAUUAUCACUAAAAGAGUUCAAAUAUGGCUUUAAUCUUCUCAAAACAUGCCAAAGAUUCAUGCCAAAUCUGUACAAAAUGUACGUUAAAUAUUCACUUAUCAAAAAACCUCUAAAAUCUCCUUUUCUUUAUCUUGCUUCUUUGAUUUCUCUAACCUGCUCGGAAAAGGCGGUAAGUUAGUUCCAACUCUAAUUAUAGAAUCAGGAAUUAUCUUUGGAUUCGCAUUUCUCAUUCCUUCCUCCUCAAGCUCUUUGUCAAUUCAAUCUUCAUUUUUAUCUUUCGGAAUCACAAGUUCGGAUCUCUGAAUUUUCUUCCCGUUCCUUAAGAUCAUUGCACUUACAUUUUUCAGGUUCAGUUCAGGUUGAGACGGUAAUUUUUCAUAAACUUGGGAUUCCAGGCGGUUGAUUGCUAUUGCCAUCUAACUCAUCUGAUUCUGCAUUACUUGCAUCUGUCCCAAUUGAUUUUUCAUACUUUGUAGGUCAGAAUCCAUUUUUUGUUGAUUAGCAAUUAAUUGCUUCAUCAUCUCUUCUAUAGACAGACUUGAGUUUGAAGGAGGUGGUGGCGGGCGAGACUGAUACUGUUAUUGAUACCCUUGCUGUCUAUUUGGUGUAAAAUCUGGCUGCCUAUUUCCUCCAUAGUUGAGGUUGGAAUGAUCUCUCCAACCAGGAUUGUAUGUAUUCGUGUACGGGUCGUAUGGCUUUCUUAGCACGGGCGCGUAACCAGCCAUGUUCACUUGCUCCGUACUUUUCUCUUGAAUCAUUGAGCACAUCUCUGUAGAAUGACCCAUAGCAGUGCAGAUCCCACACAAUUUGGCUCGUGAUGUAUUUCCUAUAGCUAAUUGCCUAACAAAGGAUGUUAAUUCGGUCAACUGCUAUUGGAUGGAAUAUGUCUCUACCUCAUUUACUUUGCGUGUCGGGACAUCUUCCCUCGUAUCAAACUGUUACGAAUUCUCCGUCAUUCCUUCAAUUAGCUCCUACGCUUCUCAAGAAAUUUUGUUCACCAAUGCCCCUUCACUUGCAGCAUCAAUUAUACUCCUGUCUCUAAAAAACAGCCCCUCGUAAAAAUAUUGGAUGAGCAAUUACUCACUUAUUUGGUGUUGAGGGAACUUGAUGCAUAACUUCUUGAAUCACUCCCAAUAAUCAUAAAGCGACUCUUCUAGAUACUGCUUGAUACCGCAUAUCUCCUUCCUUAGGCUUGCAGCUCGAGACGCAAGAAAAUAUUUGUUCAAAAACUUUUUCUUCAACUGAUCCCACGUGGUGAUGCUACUUGGUGGUAAGUAGUACAGUCAGUCUUUUGCGGAGUCCUUCAAGGAGAAGCAGAAUGCUCUCAUUUUUAUCUGUUCUUCUGUAAUUUCCGGAGGUUUCAUACUGUUGCAAACGACAUCAAACUCUUGCAAAUACUUAUACGGUUCCUCACCUGCUAAAUCAUAAAAAGAUGACAAGAGAUGAAUUAGACCAGAUUUUAACUCAAAUGGAGUGGUUAUCAUUUAAAUAUGGAAAAGUAAUACAUAAGGGCUGCUGUUUUAAAUCAGGAGCAGCAAACUCCCUUAGUAUCCGUGCAUUAGCCAUAGUGACUUCUUCUCGAUCCGAGUCACUAGAAGUAUCACUAUGUGAAUCUGUUAGUUCAACUUCUGGCUUAGGUCUUUGAGAUGAAGCACUGGAGUGCUCUUCUCUAAGUUGUCCGGUCUCUUUCCUUAUUUUAUGCGCAGUCUUCUCUACCUCGGGGUCAAAAAUUAAUUCACCUGUAUGAGAAGAAUGAGGCAUAUACUAGGAAAGCACUAGAAAAUUAGAACAAAAAUGAACCUAAAAAGAAACAAAUAAACCAACACCAGUCCCUGACAACGGCGCUAAAAAUUGACAGGUUAUCGAUGCCUGUGCAAUAAUAAAAAUAAACCUAGUUGCCAAUUAAAAUAAUCAGAGCCCAAUUCUGAGUACUGGAGCAGGGACUAUAGGUGUGUAAUGGGUUACUUGAUUCACCCUAUUCCCGAAGAGUUUGCUUAACCCGAUAUACCAGAAUGAGAUUGCUUAUUCAAAAUGAAUUGUUGAUUUGUAAACAGGGCAAGUAGGGUCGUAUCCUCAGGGAUUGGAAAAAAUUUGUUUCUUUUCAAAUCCACAGUAACAAGGAGGUGUUUUUGUAUAAACGAUAACAAUCUAAGGAGUGCAAAUAGAAAUAAAUAGAUAACUAGAAAUUAAAUGACAAUUCACUAAAAUUAGAAUAAUAAUAAUUAAAGGUCUAGCCAAGAAAUAAUUUCAGCAAUGGUUCACCUAAUUGAUCAUCGACGCAAAGGCAAUUCCAAUUAUUUACUAAUAAAUAGAUUAUAACUGUCAAACAAGUGAUGAUAGUCAACCCCUCCUUACUGUAUCAGUGAUUAAGGUAUGUCCGUUAAUCACUGCUAUAAUUGAGAAAUAAUCUUAGGUACGUCCGUAAGAUUUAAUUCCCCAAUUGCCUUACGUAUUAGAGGAGCCCUAUUCUAACCAAAUAACGCACUAUCAGGAUUAUUUUAAAUUAGCCCAUGUAUUCCCUUGAUACAAACCCAAUCAUGCCAGUUGUCACUAUUUCAAGGCAAUGAAACAAUUACGGAUUUAAUGCCCUAAUUGACUAUAGGUUACUAAAUCAAUUCACUAUCUCGAUCCAAGAUAAUCAAUCAAUUUAACAACUAAUAGCACUGCAAUCGGAGAAUAUGUAAAUACCAAUAAAUAAGAGGAAAAGAUAAAAUUAAAUCGAUCUCACAAUUUUUAGACAAACCAAAGCAUCAGUUAUUUCUUGACUAGAAAAGAAAAUUUAGUUCAUUCCUAAUGCGAAAGACCCACGCGAGAAUUCAAAAAUAAUAUUCACGGACAUCGUCUUGAUCCAGUAGAUUCAAUUGCGUUGGAAUAAGGAUAAAAAACCAAACUACAGAGAGUGAUUCAUUGUUUUGUUUCGUCUGCACUUUUUCUACACAUACGGAAGAAGAAAAACAACUAAAGGAUGAAAAAAGAAAAGUCAAAGAAAGCCACCCAAAGUAGUGCUUGGUCUCUACCAUCCUAUUUCCUAUCUAAUUACUACUUCCCUUCUGCGGCUGCCUAGAGGAAGAAAGAAAAGGAGACUCCAGGUCUUGUUCCAUCUCCUCCCUUUUCGGCAAUUCCCCAAAAGUAGAAAAGUUCCUCCGUUUACCAAAAUGCCCCUGGAAUGAGGACCGCUACUUGAACUCAUUUCCUGAUGACUGUCAAAUUGACACUUGUUAUGGUAUUUGCGUUCCACUCCCUGUAAUAAAUGCAAAUUGUCAAAAGUGAGUAAAAUUUGACAAUUAAUUUAAAUCGGGUCAGGUAAUAGGGGAAAUUAAUUAUAAAAUAAAUGAUAAAAUUGUAACCUAUCACUUAGAAUAACUAGAAAUAAAACAAAACAAGAAAUGAAAGAAAUAAGAGGGGUAGCAUAGACAUUUUGGAUUUUUCUGUUAAUUUGGAUGAUUUCCACCCACGGUCUAAUUUAAUCCAAAACACAAAUGGAUUAUGUGGAGGUUUUUAAACAAUGAGGGAGUAUCAUGAUCGAAUUCUAAAACACAAAGGGGAUUUACUAUAUUUUACUCUUAAAUUUUGGUUUCAUCUCAUAGCAUACAAGAGUACUAUUUCACUGUCUGUCGACAAAGAUUUUCUAUGGUUGAUGUACCAUAGGAAAAAUCUGCCUAUACCAUCAUUUGGAAAAAUUAUCAAUCCAAACAUAGCCACCAUAGCAUUUUUUCAAAAACACAAGAUGGAAAAUUGUCCCCUUAAACGUUGAAAUUCAUGAUCUUUCCUCGACCUAGUCUACUUGUCAAUUCUUGAAAAAAGAAUAGUCACGCCUAAAACACGGCCUCUUCAUCUGCAGAAUUCUAAAAAGUUAGGUAAACUCUAUAAACAAGUUGAUAGGUACAAUCGUACCCAAGAUCAAGUACAGGUAUUUGUACAUUCACUGCUGCAAUAACUAAUCUGAUGACUUACAAACACAUCAUGGUCAAUCGUUGAAUGGUAAUGAGUCUUUUGUUAUGCAUUAGUAUUAGUGUGUACACUCUAAUAGAUUGAUACUUAUACACUUUAAAUUAUCAUAAUAAUACCCUUAAUUAACUUUAACUCUUAAAAAGAAUACGUGUUAAUACACGAGAGUGUGUAAUAGAACGGCAAGCAUUAUGGUGGUCAUUGAGCAACUUAUAGGAGAAAUAGUCCUAUAAGCUGUUCAAUGACCAAUCACAACUUGCUAAUUGGAUGACUAAUAUAGCUCUAGCUGUAAUGUUUUAAUUAAAUUCCAUCACUAACGUUGGGAUGACUUUUUAACCAAAAAAAAAAGCCUUAGUUCAAGCUCUUCCCUUUAUUGUGCAUUUUUUAAAACAUUUGAUAGGCACUGCAAAUCUGUCAUUUUGGACAUUUUAUUAUUAACUAACCAUGAAAGCCGUGGACAUCAACCCAUAUCCAACAGAAUAUUAAAUUAAUAUUAGAAAAAAUUAUUAAGUAAUUGGAAAAAAAAAAGAAGAGACUAAUUUUCAUUGAAACCCACCGACAAACUAUACGUGUCCAUAGCUUUUGAUUAGUGCAUUCAACGUUUAAUUGUAUAGUCCAGUUCAUAGCCGAUUACAUGGAGUAAAGAUUGUGCUCUUUCCUUUUUCACCCCUUUUGGAAUCGAUACUGUGGAGAAUUGGGUUUUUCCCUCCUUUUUUUCUUUUCUUUCCUUCUGUGCUUUGCAAAACAUAGGUAAAAAUAUGAAAUCCGAAGCAUUCUUUAAUUGGGAUUAAGUAUUGUUCUUGAAAUUAAAAAGAAGAAAGAAAGAACAACAAAAAUCCCAAUCUGGGUUGAUUGUUGAGCUCUAGUUUGGCGGCAUCGUGCUUCCAUAGAAGUUCUCUUAGUGUGAUACGCUGCUUUCAAUCAGUUUAACACGGGAAAAAGAAAAGACAUGAAAAGCAAAUUUUGUGGGGAUAAUUUCAGAAAUCUCUCCUGAAGUUUUUUACUAUUUUACUGGCCUCCUUUCAAAUUUUAAAAAUUACACUAGUCUUCCUUGAGAUUAUUUAUCUUGUAACAUUUAGGUCCAAUCAAUAAUUAAAAGAUGAUAUUAUGAGAGAGAAAAAAAUAUGAUUUUAUCAUUGCCCCCAUCUUACUACAUUAUUGAAUUAAUUUAAUAGCAACCCACACAUUAAAGAAAAAUACUAAUAUUUGCUGUUUUUCAUUGAAGAUCAAAUCACAUGUGCCAUAAAAUAUAGUAUAUCAUUUUAUAUAUUUCACUUAAUGUAAGAUCCAAAUUAUUCUUUUCAAUUACAAAUCCAUUGUUAUUAUAAAAAAAAAAAUAAACUUUAACAUCAUAAAUAUUCUUAUCAAAAUAUUAAAGUUAGUUACUAAAAUUUUUAUGGUGUUAAAGUUCACUCUUUGUAAUAUUUAUGGGUUUGUAAUUGAAAAGAAUAAUUUGGAUCUUACAUUAAGUGAAAUAUAUAGAAUGAUAUACUAUUUUUUAUGGCAUAUGUGAUUCAAUCCUUGAUGAUAAAAAGCAAAUUCAAGUGUUUUCUUUAAUGUUUGUGCUGAUAUUAGAUUAAUUAAAUAAUUUAGUAGAUGAAAGAAAAUAGUGAAAUCAUAUUAUUUUUUCUUUCCUAAUAUCACUUUUUAAUUAUUGGUUGAACUUAGAUAUUACAAAAUAAUAAAUCUCAAGGGAGAUUAGUAUAAUUUUCAAAAUUUGGAGAGAAGCUAAUGAAAUAAUCAAAAACCUUAAGGGAGGUUUACAGAAUUAUCCCAAUUAUGUGGGAAUUAGAAUAAUUGUACUGGACGGCACUGCUGCAAUAGAGGGAAAGAGGAGAAGGUGCAGUUAACUUUUGUUGUUUGAAAUCCUUGGCGAAAUAUUACAGAAAGACAGAUAAAACGGUGGUUAGUACAUAAAUGUUUAUGACAGGGAAAAUGGUACGUCUGUUAAUCACAUUUGAAACAUUUUCAUUGGUGAAUGACCAAAAGUAUCAGGCUUGUCCAAUAGUUGAUCAUUGACCAAGAUAAAACCUGCCAUGGUAGAGCCGUAGAGGUACGAUCUUUUCGUACCUCUUAGUGCACAGGACAUUCCUUUGUUUCAUCUAGCUAAUAAUCUACCAACUCAUUUCUUCACAAAUGCACCUUUUAUGGUCACGUCUACGAAAGCCUUUACAGGAUCUUUACCCUAAAAAUCAAUUCACCGACUCCCAUUUGAUGUCAGAAAUUCUUCUACUUUACUCCAAGAUUGACUGUUAAUAAUAAUGAGACAAUGACCACUUUGAAUUAGGGGUGCGCAAAAUUAUCUGCUAAUCCGAAAAUCCGUCAUAUUCGAUCUGAUCCGAUCCAAAAAUUAGGAUAUUUGAUUUUUAUUAUUUGAUCGGAUCAAAAGAGGGUCGGGUAUCCGCUAAGAUACGGGGCGAGUUAGAGUCACAUAAUUAAAAAUUCGCGGGUAUCCGAUCCGCCCCGCAUAUAUAUAUUUUUUAUUUUUAUACACACUAUAAAAUAAUAAGUUAGAACCAAAUAAGUAAUUUUAUUGAACAAAUUGCAUUACAAAUAUGAGAGACUAUAGUUUAUUUACAAGAUUCAUUUGUAAAGGUCAUGAUCUUAUAUUUUAUAGAAAAAAGUUUAAUUAAUGUGGAACAUAUAUAUUAAAAAUUGUGCUACUUAUUUCAAACUUUUAUUGAUUUUGAUUUCUUUUAAUUUUUUUCCUUUAUCUUAUAUUCUCUUCAUAUGCUUGUUUCUUGGUGGGAAACCUUUUUUUAGAAAAAAAAAAUUAUUAAAUCUUAGAUGAAUGUGUAAAAUAUAAAAUUAAAUUAGUAUAAAUCAUUUUUUUAAAAAAAUUAAAUGAUAAACGGGACGGAACGGGUACCCGCUGAUCCGACCCUAUCUUAUCGGGUACCCGCUGAUAUGCGGGGCAGGUAAAAAUCAGAAAAUGACUGACCUGUAAGGUGCAGGUCGAAUCAAUCAAAUGGUGAAUGGGACGGGUAUACGACCCGCGCCAACACCUACUUUGAAUUAUCACACCAUCCUUCUUGAUAGGAUUGGUACUAGAGGUAGGGAGGGGAGUCGGCUGCAUCCGGUCUUCUUUUCAUAGAUGUCAUUCACGCAAUAUUAUAUUUCGAAGUCAUUGCAUGGCUAAGCUGCAAAAAAGUACGAACACUUGUUAUUAUAUAGCUUAAGAUUCAAAACGUUAGAGCAUAACCCUCCACCUAACACAAUUGAAUAAUGAAUAUUCACGAUUGUCAAAUCUGUCAAAGCACAGUUUGAGGACAACCCAUUCCAACCUGCAAAAGAUUUUUUACUUUUCUAAAGUUGUUGAGAGCUGUAAAAAGACUUACCAUGCUUACAUCUUCCGAGCCUUGGGAGUUAAAAAUGAAGGCACUGAGUGCUAUAAAAAGGGGGCUAGAGGCUGCCUAGAAGCAUAUCAGCCUAAAACAAGAAUUUGUAGUUAUGAUGGGAAGCAAAGCAAAAGCAAUGGGGUCUGGGCUGACUCCUCUUCUUACCACUCUUUUAGUGGUAUUUGUUGCUCUUGGCUUGCCCUCAGAAACUGCAGCUGAUGAUCACUACAAGUAUUCAUCUCCUCCUCCUCCUUACCACUAUCCCUCACCACCACCUCCAGAGCAUUUACCUCCACCAGUGUACAAAUACAAGUCCCCACCACCACCUCAUCAUGUUUACAAGUACAAAUCUCCACCACCCCCACCACCACACCCAGUUUACAAGUAUAAGUCGCCACCACCACCUCCUCAUCCGGUACCACACCCAGUUUACAAGUAUAAGUCACCACCACCACCUCCUCAUCCGGUACCACACCCAGUUUACAAGUAUAAGUCACCACCACCACCUCCUCAUCCGGUAUACAAGUAUAAGUCUCCUCCGCCACACCACACCCAGUUUACAAGUAUAAGUCACCACCACCACCUCCUCAUCCGGUACCACACCCAGUUUACAAGUAUAAGUCACCACCACCACCUCCUCAUCCGGUAUACAAGUAUAAGUCUCCUCCGCCACCACCACACCCAGUUUACAAGUAUAAGUCACCACCACCACCUCCUCAUCCGGUACCACACCCAGUUUACAAGUACAAGUCACCACCACCUCCUCCCCCAGUUUACAAAUACAAGUCUCCACCACCACCAGUUUACCACUACAAGUCACCACCACCUCCUCCCCCAGUUUACAAAUACAAGUCUCCACCACCUCCUCACCACUACUAAGCAAUUGCUUCUGAGGUAAUAACACUUGUUCAAUAUACCCACUUCUGCAUGAUAAAACAUAUCUCUAUCAACACAAACUGUCAUGUCUAUCAUGCUAAGUGCCUUCACUUCAUCCACCAAAAUGACUGCUAGAAAAUUUUUUUUAUGUUACCAAAGAAAGGCAUCAUUUUUUCCCUCUGUUAUCAAGAACUUGUACAGUAUAUAGAUUAAAGAGUUUUUUUUUAACUAGCUUAUCAACUUAGAAAUGCAUAUAGCUGAUAGCCAGCUGAAUAUUUG
rnacentral:lncRNA from 1 species